UACAGAGGGUGCGAGCGUUGUUCGGAAUUACUGGGCGUAAAGGGCGCGCAGGCGGCCAUUCAAGUCAGAUGUGAAAGCCCCGGGCUCAACCUGGGAGUUGCAUUUGGGACUGGAUGGCUAGAGAUCGGGAGAGGAGAGUGGAAUUCCCAGUGUAGAGGUGAAAUUCGUAGAUAUUGGGAAGAACACCAGUGGCGAAGGCGGCUACCUGGACCAGCACUGACACUGAGGCACGAAAGCGUGGGGAGCAAACAGG
rnacentral:rRNA from 1 species